UCCCUGAGACGGUUUCUGACAGUUUGUAUAGAAAUUAUUUGAUUGCGUAAACCCACAGAUUCAUUAGCUGUCCAGGUGGCUGGUCUCAGACCAUACCACAGGUGAAGAAGCCAAAUGUGGAGGUCCUGGGCUGGCGUGGUUACAUGUGGUCUGUGGUUGUGAGGCCGGUUGGGCGUACUGUCAAAUUCUCUAAAGUGACGUUGGAGGCAGAUGAUUGUAGAGAAAUUGACAUAAAAGUAUCUGGCAAAAACUCUGGUGGACUUUCCUCCAGUCAGCAUGCCGAUUGCACGCUUCCUCAAAACAUGAGACAUCUGUGGCAUUGUGUUGUGUGACAACUGCACAUUUUAGAGUGGCUUUUUUAGGUCCGUAGCACAAGGUGUACCUGUGGAAUGAUCAUGCUGUUUAAUCAGCUUCUUGAUAUGUCACACCUGUCAGGUGGAUGGAUUAUCUUGGCAAACGAGAAAUGCUCCCUAACAGGCCCAGGCAUGGAUCAAAGCUGGUGAGACAUUCAAUGACGUCAUCUUCACAGACGAAUCAACUGUGGCCCUUCAGCAAUUUGCUCAAAAUUGCUACAGAAAAAAAGGAAGAAGAUCAAGCAUCCCUCAAACUCUAUGUGUGGGGGGCAAUUUCUCGCCAGGGACCAGGCCCAUAUUAGCUUACUGUCACGUUCUGACCUUAGUUCCUUUGUUUUCUCUUUUGUUUUAGUAUGGUCAGGGCGUGAGUUGGGUGGGUAGUCUAUGUUAGUUUUUCUAUGAUUUUCUAUUUCUGUGUUUGGCCUGGUAUGGUUCUCAAUCAGAGGCAGCUGUCAAUCGUUGUCCCUGAUUGAGAACCAUAUUUAGGUAGCCCUUUUUCUAUUGUGUUCUGUGGGUGGUUAUUUUCCGUGUUUGUGCCACACGGGACUGUUUCUGUCUUUCACUUUGUUAUUUUGUAUAGUGUUCAGUUUGUAUUAUUAAAAUGGACGCAUACCACUCUGCAAA